rnacentral:lncRNA from 1 species
GCUGCCGGUGCUGCGGGUGUACCCUUGCUCAGGGCCCUGCGCCGCAUCCCCGAUGCUGACGGCCAGCUGAGUGCCGAAGGAGUUGACGCCCACCAUGGCAGCGGGGCCGUGCGCCGUGCCGAGCGAGGAGAGCUGCGCGGGGCCGCGGGGGACGCUGUAGAGCGCCUCGGCGAUGUCGGCCGCGCGCUUCAGGAUGAGGUCCUGGUUGUUGUGUGGCAUCC